rnacentral:rRNA from 1 species
AUGAGGAUCACCAAACAAUGCAACCUGCCACUUUCCUUGGGCAAGCAUUAUCGCUCAAAUGUGUUGUGUGACGUAGUUGAUAUGGACGCUAGCCAUGUUCUUCUUGGGAGACCUUGGCAAUUUGAUGUGGAUACUACACACAAGGGCAAGAAAAAUUCUUACUCUUUCAUUUGGAACAAGAGAAAGAUCAUUAUCUUACCAAACAAAACCAAAGGUAGUACCUCUAAGGAGGGGAAAACUAUGUUAACUAUCUCCCAUACCUCUCAUGAGUUUAUGGAAGACUUGAAGGAGGCAGAUUUGUGUGUUGCACUUGUUGUAAAAGGAGAAGAGCACCUGACUGUUGAAAUUCCGGCAAAGGUACGUGGUUUAUUGGCAGAAUUUCAGAACAUGCUUGGAGAGCCACAAGGCUUGCCACCGAUGAGAGGAAUUCAA